rnacentral:ncRNA from 13 species
GCUCAGUGGUAGAGCACUCCCUUGGUAAGGGAGAGGUCACGCGUUCGAUCCGCGUCAUG